ensembl:lncRNA
ACUCCUCAUUUAAUUGUAUGAAUUCCAACUGAAAUCAGUGGGGAGAUUAAACAGGAGUUGGGAGAUUCAAUACUCUGCUGAGUUCUGGCCACCAAUAUCAGUGCACUGCUUAACUCAUAAACUAUAUUUACAAUUUUUGCUCAUAUUCAUCCACUGACACGUUUCAGGUGCUUAUAGAUGCUUCUAAUAGUGUGCCGUAAAUCACUGUAAAGAACUGAAAUACAAUUUUUAGAGUUCAAAUGGGAAUACUCAAUAGAUGUGACUGUUUGCAGGAUCAGGACCUAUUUUCCAGAACAGGUGCUUAAAUGAAAUGAUGAAGUCAUUAUAGUUGAGGAACUUAAUACAGAGAAAUAGCUCACAUUAUUCUAGUACCUAUAGGGCUCUGGCAUAAAUGCCUAAAUUAAAAAUUUGAGAACUUAUUAGGGGGGAGGAUUAGAUUUGGCAUUUCAAUUGGAGAGGAUUUUGUGGAUGUGGGGAAAAAAAAUAACUUCUUUUUUUGUGCAUGUAGAAGAAUUUUUUACCACCUGGAAAAGUUGCAUGGUUUUGACAUCACUUCCAGUUUUUUUCUGCUUUUGAAUUUGCUCCCUUUCUAUGCCACAAGCCUCCUUAGUGCUACAAAAAUCAGUUUGCUCUCGGAACAUGCAUGUGUUCAGGAAAGUACAAAAUGUCUAUCGGAAAGGCAGUAUAGUGCACUCUUUGUGGUCAGAGUGUGGGAAACUCCAUUUAGCUCAUUUUCAUGACAGAAGCACUGAACCACAUUAACACAGAAGGAAGAUGUAGAAAACGUUUAAUGGUACUGGAACGCUUUGUUUAUUCUUAGCUAAGCCUACACGGCUUCCAAAUGAGCCCACUAUGCAGUGUGACUACAUAAGGUUAACUGCUGGGUACAUUAAGCAAAAUACUCUCUCUUAGAUGCUUGUUUAAGUCAUCAUUUCUGACCAUUUAUCAGACUUAAUGUGCUACAGCAGACUGCAGGUCACAAUGUGUCAUUUCCAAAAGAACUUUGACUUUUCCCUUUCCAGGGUCAGGAACCGGUAAUGUUUAGCUGAAAUCACUGCCCUGCACUUCAUAGCUUCCAGUGAGGCUUUGGAGAGUUGCUCUUGCUAGACCAGAGUGCUGGUUCCAAGUAUUCAGUACUAAAAUUGGAGGACACUGUUUAAGUACAUAUAGACAGCUGAGUUUCAAUCUAGCUGCAGAAUAUCCCACUUCAUUUUUGAGAUCAUGAGAGAUACAGGAUGACUGAUUUCCCAAAAUGAUAGUGGGAUAUGUUAGAUAAAAAUGCCAAAAACAAGCACCCUCACUUGACAAAGGUUAUUUGUAUGGAAUUCAAGAAAAACUGUAUAUUUGGGGGUACAAUUUUUAACAUGCCAGGUGAGUAUUUCUUCUAUUCCUUAGUUCCAGGUAAAACAAUGCGGCUACUUAUCCAAUGAGUUCUGUGGUUAAGUGAAUUUGCAACAAAAAAAAAUGUGCUUGAUGCCUUUACUCUCCUUUUUAAUCUAGAAAAUAUGUGGAAUUUUCAGAUCUAUAUGCUUUCUUCAGGUUGGUCUCACGUUGAUGGAGAUGCAACAAAGAUAAAACAGAGACCCUGAGUCCUACUCAUGUCCCUACGAUUGUCUCUGUAUUUUAUCCAUCAACAUCUGAAUGCUAAUCACUCAAAAAUCCUGAGAGCGGAGACAGACUCCAAGGGCUUCCCCUCAGAAGGCCUAGAGUCACAGUCUGCCUUGUGCUUUCUGCGAUGCCCCUUCAGCGUCAUGUCCCUUCAUUCAUAGCUGGACAGUGUGAGCCAAAGUGGAGGAGAUGUCUUUUCAGCCACACCUGGUAGAAGAAAUCUGCAACCAUGGCACUUGACACAGAUCCUCUUUGACGCUGAACUGACAAGUUACUUGCAGAGUUUGAAUGGAGCAAAGGGAAAUUUUUCCAGAGGAAGCUACAAAUUUGCAGCAACUGCCAAGGAGGUGUGCAGCCAGUGCAAAGGUGUUACAUCCAGAGGUGCUAAGUACCUGAGCUCCUUCCUGACACCAGUGGGGCAGAAUGCUCUGCAUCUCUCUGAAGCUGGGUAUUGGAGUUUGCAUGGAGCUGCCAGUAUUAAUGGAUUCAAAAGAGGCUAAAAGGCUUUGACUCUCCCUUCAUGGCAUGACCGAGGCUGAAACUCCACAAGAUGAUAAAGAU